rnacentral:lncRNA from 1 species
AUCGUAUUCCAUUUUAGCGUUAGAGAGAGCCCAAAUCCCACGUUAGACGUAAGUCUUCCAAUGGCUCCAUCACUGAUGCAACAUUUGCUGGAUGGGCCCAUGGGUGAUCCACAGGGAGCCCCUGGCUAUGGGGGAGAACAAGUCAGGCCGUCAAGCCUGUAGAGUCUGUGUAUUAUGUUUCACAUGGUGGCUGUUGCUGGCCCCACCUCCGCUUAUGUCCUUAACAUGCCUCAGGUGGUUCAUCCCUUUUGGCACUCAUGGUGCCCCCUGUGGGCUGAUACAGGAGUGAGUCUACUGUGAAGGCACUCAGUAUAGUGGAAAAAACAAAUAUCAACCUCCUGCUUUUUUUCAGUGUAAAAACUAUAAGCUCUAUGGGAGUUUCUGCAGAUGGUACCAUAAUGGCCUGAGGGAGGAGUAUCACAGUCACAGAGUAUUGGUUCUCUCACUGCAUAAGCCAUGGUUUUACCCACCUUCACAGGCUAAAGGUGCUUCAUAACCUUGUUCAUGUAUUGAGGUUCUGUUGGCUCUUGUAAUGGUAAUUUCACAUGUGGGCAGUUGUUCAUAUUGAUGUUUCUAUAGGGGUAUGAUAGCUGGAGAGGUCUGCGCCACUGUCUUGCUCUGCCUUGAUCAUUUUUUUUUUUUAACAAGAAUUUGUCUCCUCCUAGUUUUUCUUUUUCUCUUAACCGACCUAGGUUUAGCCUUUUAAUCCUUCUCCCUCCUCUGCUUCUAAUGUCAUUGUUUCUUUGUAUGCCUAUCAUAUCUACAUGCUACAUGACCUUCAGCUGGUUAUGUAUAAUAUAUAAGACUUAAUAUCCUAUAAAAUAGAGGUAAUAAUAGCAUCUACUUGAUAGGAAAGUUAAGAAUAUUAAAUGACACCAUUGAUGUUAAAUGGAAGUAACUUUCUGAAAUGUAUUAAUGCGACAUGAUUCUUUGUUCUAGUCUUCACUUUAUAGACUAGACUACUUUGUUUGAGUUUUCUCUUUUCAGU